UACGUAGGGGGCAAGCGUUGUCCGGAUUUAUUGGGCGUAAAGAGCGUGUAGGCGGCCAUGUAGGUCCGUUGUGAAAACUCGAGGCUCAACCUCGAGACGCCGAUGGAAACCAUGUGGCUAGAGUCCGGAAGAGGAGAGUGGAAUUCCGUGGUGUAGCGGUGAAAUGCGCAGAUAUCGAGGAAGAACGACCCGUGGCUAAGGCGGCUCUC
rnacentral:rRNA from 1 species